UAUAGGGGAAAGCCAGCUGCUGUGAUGUGAAGAAACUCAAGCUAGACAACAGCAGGGUGUAUGUACUUAGAUAUGGUGUAUCAAUAUCCACGUCCUCCAAUGGUCCCAGCUCAGACUCCGUACUUCCAAGGAAAAACAAACUUCUCACAACAUUGUCAUCUUCCACAGGGGACCCAUGGGGAGACCUCCAGCCAGGCCCUUCCAGAGAGCCACAGGGAACAGUAACACAUUGUUUUUACCGCCAAGCUUCGCUGAAAUUCUUUGACUAGCAGUAGAAAACCGGUUUCGUCCUGCCAUACAAAAUCCUCUGUACCAGAAGCGCGAGGGAGCAAUUUCCACUUAACCUCAAUUCCAAGAAAAGCUGGGCAGCAGAGAGACAUCGGACUGUUUGGGAAAGAAAUAAUCCCAUCUGGUCCGGGAGGAGUGCCCAGUGCUGUGUGGAGGUAUGUCUCUAGAGCAUCCGCUGGUGCCGCGCCCCAGAAGCACCAAGGACCACAGGAUGAUUCUACAAGCAUUGUGGACGGGCUCCAGUGUAAGGCCCCUUCAGCAACCUCUCCACUUCCGCGUCUGCUGUUGCUUGGCAACCGUCUCAGUGACACCCUUUCUUUUCUGCCAACAGCUCUUCCAAACCUGCCAUUUCUUUCCCGGCUCUGCCUGUGCUCUCUCUACAGGUGAUGGCAGAAGGAACUCAUUAUAGUUAGGAUGCCGUGGGGAUUUUCUCCUGCCUUCUUUCUGCUGCCUUUUAGGCCUGGCGACUCAGCAGCUAAGUCCCAAUAAAUGUGUGAUAUCUUCUCAAAUCCGAAGGGGAAAAAAAAAUGAACUUUUGUUAGAGAGUGUGACCUUUGUUCUAAGCAAGCCUUUCUGUUGGAGACAGUCAUUCCUGUCAGCAAUUACUGUGGAAACUCUACUCUCUCAGCUUCAAUCUCUAUGCUUCCUGGAACCUCCCCUCAUUGUGUAAGCAAAUGGACAAACCUCCCCUUCCUGCCAUCCCCCUGCACUAGUUUCUUUGUACCCUUGUCACUGAAGGGAAGGCCACAAGAAGGGAAGGGUGGUCCAUGCUCAU